rnacentral:sRNA from 1 species
UCGCAGCGCUCGAGUAGCACGGUUGGG